GACGAACGCUGGCGGCGUGCUUAACACAUGCAAGUCGAACGGUGAAGCGCCUUCCUUUUUGGUGGGUGUGGAUGAGUGGCGAACGGGUGAGUAACACGUGAGUAACCUGCCCCCUUCUUCUGGAUAACCGCAUGAAAGGGUGGCUAAUACGGGAUAUUCUGGGUCUGUCGCAUGAUGGGUCUGGGAAAGAUAUUGUUUCGGUGGGGGAUGGGCUCGCGGCCUAUCAGCUUGUUGGUGGGGUGAUGGCCUACCAAGGCGGUGACGGGUAGCCGGCCUGAGAGGGUGGACGGUCACACUGGGACUGAGAAACGGCCCAGACUCGUACGGGAGGCAGCAGUGGGGAAUAUUGCACAAUGGGCGCAAGCCUGAUGCAGCGACGCCGCGUGAGGGAUGGAGGCCUUCGGGUUGUGAACCUCUUUCGCCAGUGAAGCAGGCCUGCCUCGUUUGUGGGUGGGUUGACGGUAGCUGGAUAAGAAGCGCCGGCUAACUACGUG
rnacentral:rRNA from 1 species